AUUGAACGCUGGCGGCAGGCCUAACACAUGCAAGUCGAGCGGUAGAGAGGUGCUUGCAUCUCUUGAGAGCGGCGGACGGGUGAGUAAUGCCUAGGAAUCUGCCUAGUGGUGGGGGAUAACGUUCGGAAACGGACGCUAAUACCGCAUACGUCCUACGGGAGAAAGCGGGGGAGUCUUCGGACCUCGCGCCAUUAGAUGAGCCUAGGUCGGAUUAGCUAGUUGGUGAGGUAAUGGCUCACCAAGGCGACGAUCCGUAACUGGUCUGAGAGGAUGAUCAGUCACACUGGAACUGAGACACGGUCCAGACUCCUAC
rnacentral:rRNA from 1 species